rnacentral:rRNA from 1 species
CCGUGAGGUGUUGGUUAAGUCCCGCAACGAGCGCAACCCUUAUCGUUAGUUGCCAUCUGGUAAUGCAGGGGACUCUAGCGAAACUGCCACGUAAGGUGAGAGGAAGGUGGGAUGACGUCGAAAUCAGCACGGCCCUUAUGUCCAGGGCUACACACGUGUUACAAUGGUCGGUACAGAGGGCAGCUACCUGGUGACAGGAUGCUAAUCUCGAAAACCGGUCUCAGUUCGGAUCGAAGUCUGCAACUCGACUUCGUGAAGCUGGAUUCGCUAGUAAUCGCGCAUCAGCUAUGGCGCGAUGAAUACGUUCCCGGGCCUU